CCUGGUACUGGUUAUGAAAAAGCUGUGAAGAUAUGUCACCAAUACUAGCUGAAACCACACUUUGAUCAUGAAAUAGCUUUAAUUCAAAAUACAGACUGUGAGUAAUUUGUAGUGUGGCUUACUCACACUACUCAUCUUCGUACACAGAGGAAACAACACAAUUGAUGUCAUCUUUCAACAAAAGGACAAUGUGGAAAUCGAGGCAAAGGAGAUGAAAUCACUUGUCCCAGGCCACCCUGCAAAUGAUCCAAAUCUCUACUUGCCUUUUAAACAUCUCAGCAGCUUCUUUCUGUUUCUUUGGCAACUUAUGCUGUACAGCUAAGGAGCUGUCUAGUGACACAGCCACAAGUUCCAAGCCACUGCUUUUUAUUUGGAUUCUGUGCCUUGAUCUGUGAAUUGGCAAGUGCCCCAAAGGGACAAAGCAGCAGACUAAGGUAGGGCUCACCUCUGUUUACUUCUUUCCCUUUAGGAGGUUGGCCCCUCAGCUCUUGGUUGCCUUAGUUGCUUCCCAAUGACUUCAAGGAGCUUUAUGUGUAUAAUUUUUGUUUUUUGUUUUGCUUUUGUUUUUGAAGUAGGCUAGUUUGGUACAGCUAUUUCAUCCUAGCCCAAAAAAGCAACCUCCAAUUAUUAGUUGUUGUUUUUUCUUUCUUCUCCCCAAAGCCCCCAGUGCGUAGUUGUGUAUCCUAGUUGUGGGUCUUUCUAGUUGUGGCAUGUGGGACACCGCCUUACCAUGGCCUGAUGAGCGGUGCCACGUCCGUGCCCAGGAUCCUAAUCAGCCAAACCCCGGGCUGCUGAAGUGGAGCACACAAACUUAAUCACUCAGCCAUGGGGCCGGCCCCCAAUUAUUAGUUUUUUAACCCAGCAUUUCUUCAACUUAUUUUGACAAUGGAAAUCUUUUGUUUUUUUUUGUCAUUUGAGUGAGCAUUCCACGGAAGAUUCUUUAUGAAGCACUACUCCAACUGUGUCAGUCUACCAUGUCUCAAACACAGAAACGUAUUUCAUGCUUUCGUGUUAUUGCUUUUCUUCUCCCCCUACCUAGAAUUGCGUUGCCCAUACUUCUUUUGACUUCCGAAAUCCUCCUAAACUCAACUUUCAUUAAGGAUUCUGUAAUUUUCUGAUGUAGAAUAAAAAAGUUCCAAAUACCAUAAAAUUUUUUGACA
rnacentral:lncRNA from 1 species